rnacentral:lncRNA from 1 species
UGUGAAUUAUAUAAUUUGUGAAUAAAUUCCUGUAAUUUUAGUUUGUUUAAAAAAUAACAAAAGGAACAAUAAAAUGUUGAAAUAAAUUAUUGUUUUGAUUUUAAUAAAAUAAGUAUUUAUAAACAUAUUUUUGUUGUUAUGUUUAUGAUGAUUUUUAAAAAAAAAAAAUGUAUUUGAUUUUAAAUAAUUGACGCUUAAAACUAAAAUUAGUGUGUAUAAAUUAUAAAUUAAGAAAGUUAAAUUAAGAGAUGAUUGAUGUAAGGCCUAAAAAAAAAAAUAUAAUAAAAUAAAUAAUAAUAAAACUAAUAAAUAAAAAUAUAACAAAUAGUGUGCACAUGUGGCAGCAUAGGAUAGGUUGAAUAAUAUUAGUAAAGUAAAAAUACUUAACCUUCUAAAACCCACAUUUAAUUUGUGUUUCUGAAGAACAGUUCCCUCUUUUCUUUCAAACACUCUCUCUUUUCUUCUAUGCUUUACCACUCCUUCCAUCUCAAACUCAGAUUCUUGAUCCUUUGCUUGUUGAACAGAAGAUACCUAGCUGAUCAAGGUUUCAAGAGCAACCUUUCUACCGAUUGAAUUUUCGUUUUCCCAAUUGGUAAGAAAAAAAAAACCCCUUUCUUUCUUUUCACCUAGGGUUUUAAUCAUAUGAAACAAAAUCUGGGUGCAUGUGACCCAUUUCACGUUUCUCAAAUUUUUUUAGCUUCUAUUAGGUUCUAAAAAUUGUAUUCUAUCAUCAAAUUGAUGAUCUAUAGGUACCGUAAGGGUUUCCAUAGGACGCAGGACAUCUCUAGCCUUCUUAAGCUUGGUUGCCUACACUAAAGGUAAGGGGAGCUAGUUUUAUUUCUUAUUUUUAUUGUGUGAUGUGAAUGAAUGACAAAUUUUGUAGUGAUAUGUUGUUGGAAGCAUGAAUUUGAUUCUAACAGUAUCAUACCAAUUAUUUUUAAAGUUAGUUCUACUAUAAUUUAGUUAUGAUUUUUGUUUCGUUUUUUUUACUACUUUUAGAAGUAUUUAGGGGAAAAAUCAUUUUUAAAAUGUUCCUUAAUCUUUCUAUACGUGGGCACCCUUUUGUGGUGUAGAAAUCAAAGGUGUAUUGAAAUUAUCAAAAAAAAAAAAAAAGAAAAAGAAGAAAACAAAACAAAAGUAGUUUAAGAAUUGAACCCAACCGUGACUUUUGACUUGAGUUAUAAAAUGAUGAUUCCAUUUGUUUAGUUAACAAACUAUAACAUCCAUGAUUGAAUAAUCUUACGUGUUAAUGUCACAAAGCUAUCAUCAAAUGCAAGACUUACCGAUAUCAAGAAUCAUAAAUUUGACUAUGAAAAAUUGAAUUAGAAAAAUUAAAAUGCCGCGACGUUCUUUUGACAUGAAACCAGAUUCCUUUGGUAGAUUUCAAAUUAGGAUUAUAUGUUAAUUUAUUAUUGGCUUAUUCUAGUCUCCAUAAAUUUAUUUUCACAGAAAGAGAUUAUUUUCUUAUAAAUUUAGACAAUUUACUCACAUUGCUUACAUCAAAUACCUAACUGAUUUAGAAUGAUGAAAUUGGUUCCAUGUGCUGUGUAAACUGAUGGUGUUUUAUUUACGGUUUCAGCAUUGGUUUCAGCAUUGUUUUAGUUGUUGUUUUAGCACUAUUUCUGUCCUAUUUUAAUUACUGUAUCUGCUGUAAAAAAAAAAAAUACUGUUGUAAUUACUGUAUCUGCUGUAAAAAUACUGCUGUUUGAUUGCUGUUACUGUUUUAAAAACCUUGCUGUUUGAUGUUGCUGUCAAGAAGGUUUACUGUUGUUGUAUUGGCUGUUUUAUGCAUUCUUUGUUGGCUGUUUCAGCACUUAAAUCAUUGUUGUUUUUUUUGUACAAUUGUGGAUUGUUUCAGCAUUGUUUUCUUUUUGUUUUACACUAAUAAAUUAUGUUGUUUGAUGUUGUUUUGGGACACUAUUAUUACUGUUUGCUAUUUGUUUUUUUUUUAUCACAAUACUAUAUCCAAUGCUUGAUGUUUGAGUUAAAAUUAUACACUAAAAUGAAAGGAAUUAUGAAAUGGUUAUAAGUCUUGAUUGGUGUGAAACUUUAAGAGGAAUUAUUCAUUCAAGAGGUAUAUCCUGUGAUUUAAAGUGGUCGGAUUGAAUAUGAAAGUAAGAUCUCUAGGUGAGAUCAUUUAGUGUAUUGAAUGAAUGGUGAGAGACUUCCAUAUGGGGGGUUAUCCCUAACACUCUAACGGUCUUUCAUUCUCACUUAGAGAGGAUUGACGCGGGUGGUGAGAGUAGUGGGAGGUCCUAGGGUAGGCGCUAUCACUGGAGGUCUAUUCCGCGGUAACGGACUAGCCUUGUGUGUGGUCGGGUGAAACCCCUCGGCAAUGGCUUUGCAAAGCAGUAGAGGCCACCACAAGUGCACAACCCGCCCCAGCUCUACAUUCAUUCCAAGUCCGGACGUGUCUAGAAUCUUAACAUGAUAGGAUACUUGUCUUGAUGAGUUUUAUGAAAUAAAUGCUUAUGUUUAUGAUGACUAAGGUGUUUAUGUGUGUAUGAAUAUUCUUGGAAAUGAUAGAUUGGUUGGAAAUGAAUUUAUGAUUGUUUGAGACUUAGCUCACCCUUGCACUUGUAUGUUUGUGUUUGUUUGCCUUCCCCCUUGCGAUGAUCAUCCAAUCCUUUGGAUGUGAGCAGUAGGUGAUGAUGUAUCUUUGGAGCAAGCGUUGGAGACUGAGGAAGACCCAGCCCCUAGUGCUUAGGAUCUCUAUUAGCUCCUAGUUUAGAUGAUCUUUAUUCUGAAAGACUAUUAGCAUUUAUUUACUUUGAUCUGUAUUUUGGAAAACAAUCUUUAGGACCCUUUAAUAUUUAGCUAGCUUUGUAUUUUGAACAACUUGGAAACUUGUACUUUGUCCUUCUUUUCGUUUUAAUUUCCCAUCUAUUUUGGAUGACUGUAAUUUAUACUUAUAUUGUCAUCUACUACUCUUAACUGCUUUCUAUUAUCAUGAUUUAAUGCAUUCUACAUAUAUACAUAGCUAUAUAUUUUGGGAUGUUACAAUUGAUAAUUGGAUUGCUUGAUGUUGUGAAUAAAAGUUUAGUAAACUA